AUACGUAGGGGGCGAGCGUUGUCCGGAAUGACUGGGCGUAAAGGGCGUGUAGGCGGCGGUGUAAGUCUGGAGUGAAGGUCCCGCAUUCAAUGUGGGAAUUGCUUUGGAUACUGCAGUGCUAGAGAGCGGAAGAGGGAAGUGGAAUUCCCAGUGUAGCGGUGAAAUGCGUAGAGAUUGGGAGGAACACCAGUGGCGAAGGCGACUUACUGGGCCGUAACUGACGCUGAGGCGCGAAAGCGUGGGGAGCGAACAGGAUUAGAUACCCUGGUAGUCCACGCGGUAAACGAUGAAUGCUAGGUGUUGCGGGUAUCGACCCCUGCAGUGCCGGAGUAAACACAAUAAGCAUUCCGCCUGGGGAGUACGGCCGCAAGGUUGAAACUCAAAUGAAUUGGCGGGG
rnacentral:rRNA from 1 species